UAUCGACUGCCCUAGCAGACAAGCCAAGACGAUAGAUUAAUUUUAUUUAAGGAGAAUAAAUUAUG
rnacentral:ncRNA from 1 species